AAGGGAGGGGAGAGCGUGGGUUGGGGGACGUGAGUGAGUGGGAGAGAGAAAGAGGGAUUGGUGAGAGAUGGUGGAAAGAUCGUAAUGAAGCGGAUUGAGAGAAAUGGGCUGAGAUUGGGGAGCAGAAAGAAAGGGAGCAGACAGAAGGGGGUGGAGAGACUAGGGGAGUGGAGAGUGGAUGACAGAAAAGGGGUGAGAGUGGGGAAUAGAGAGGGGCGAGGGAGAAAGGGACGGAGAUAUUGGGAGAGGGGAAAGAGAGAACAUGAGGAAUGGUGGAAAGAUAUAACAUGGAGAGAGGAGGAAUGGUAUAGAGAGGACUGAGAGAGAGGGAGGGAACAGAGAAAGGGAGACAGACGGGGGGGCGGUGGUGAUUGACGACAGGAGAGAGAAAAAUGAAGUGAGAGAUGGUGAAAAGACAAGAUGGAGAGAAGGAAGAGGGAUGGUGAAACGAGGGGUAGGAGGAGGACUGGAUGAAGGGAAGGUGAGAAGGGAGAGAGAAGGAAGAAACGAUAAUCGCAUCUCAGUUUUACAGUUAACGGAAAAAAUUGAAUACAUCUGAAAGUGUGAUCUCUCAGUUUGAUAACAAAUCUCAAUUUCCCACACGUAGCAGGUUGAUAACAAUCAACUGAUUUGUUUUUGUGAUGAAAGGGUAAAUGGACAAAAUUUCAGCCAUAUUUAACUCAAAAUGUAAGGUGCUACCAGACCUGCAGUGAAAUGAGAACACUUUGGCCAGUGGGUUAUUCCUAAAGGCAAAAAGCUAGGCUCAUGAUGUUUACAGCACAGAAGGAGGCUAUUCAGUCAUGUGUCCACACAGGUCAACAAAGAUCUGACUACACCAACCUCAUUUUCAAGCUGUUGACCCAUGGACCGGGAGGCUAUGGUAAUGCAAGUGAAUAUCUAAAUGCUGCUUCAAUAUUGCAAAAAAUUCUAACUCAUCCACCUUUCAGAAAGUAAGUUCCAGAUUCCCACCAUGCUGUGUGUGAAUAAAAUACUCCACAAGUCUCCUCUUAGCCUUCUACUUCUUACCUUAAAUCAAUGCUCCCUGGUUAUUGGCUCCAUUACUAAUGGAACUAAGUGUCCCUUUGUACCCCUCUUAAUCUAUAUAUCUAUAUCAGGUUCCCUCUCAACCUACGUUGCUUAAAAUAUAAAGCCACUAUCUUUUUAUUUUUCUAAAUUUUGAAUGUGGACUGAAAUGGGAAAAACACCUUUUUAGAAAAAACAAGGAUUGUAGAAGGGGUUGCUGAACUGUUUACAAAGCAAGUGACCAGCGCUUAUUCUAAGUGCUGUUUACAGUCCUGCUUGUUCAAGCAUUGGGGGAUGUUUAGUUGCAGGUGUAUUGGCACCAAGGAGUGUACAAAAUGAGAUUCGGCCAACAACAAGUUGAUUAGCCUGUGGAGUGACAAAGAGUUGUCAAUGACACAGGCCUUCUGCCUGUUAGCAACUAUGUGAUUGGUUCCCAGCUAGCUGAUCAGAUUCGAGGUGUAAACAAAAUGGCCAGAAGCCUUUGGACCAACGUCUCCUUUAGCAGCUCCAAGGUUCCAUGCACAGUGAAAAUCUUUGGCACACUGUAUUGACUGUCAAUUCUGGAAGUUGCUAAUGCACACGGGCCUCAGAGACUCAUGUGACCAGGAAGAAAAUUAAAGGAAAAGUGCUUUGGACCUCCUAAAGGGAUAAGGUGCUUCAAAAGAUCCUCCUGCUCCUUGGGCUCAGAGUGUGAAUCCAGCCGGAAUUAAUAAGACGGAAAUUUACCACUCUACCGGUUGUAAAAAGCUUGUGGCAGAUUUGAGUCUAUAGCACAAAACUAUCGCAACUUUCAUACUUACGCUGCCACUCAUGGAGAAAAGUGCCAGGAGGAGGCUGGUAGAAGAAAUGAAUGGAUCCCAAAUGACGAAGCAAUGGCGAUUUUCAGAAUUGGAAGUAAAGUCACACCUAUGGGACUGUUUGGAAGCAAUUUCAUUUUGCAACCAACUCGUGUUUCUCACAUGGAAAUGCUAAUACUGGAUGUCAAAUGUUGCAAGGUGAUUCCAAUUCUCACUCAACUCUUCCACGUCGAUACGUAACAGUAUUUGCCCAAAGGUCUUGAAAAAAAUCACCCAAGGUAAUAAAAGGUGAGCAUUUAAGUUACUGAGCAAUCAAGUCUGGAUGAUCUGGAGUAAAUAUCAACAAACCCUGAGGUGGUAUUCCAGUCAUAAUAUACUGGUAAUUCAACGCCUUCCCUCCAUUUAUAUGGAAUGAAAAUAUUACUUAGAAGACAAUCAAUUACAAAAGGCUUUCACUGUAUGACAGCUGACACUGAGUAAACUAUUGCAAGUGAAGUAUUGGAUAAGAAAUUUGAUCAUGACCCAAAUAACUUUGUUAUGCGGAACAGAUAGUUGGAAUGACCAUUCAACAAGUGCAUAUACAUGGCUUCAAGACUAGUACAUUACUUAAAUAUUGCUGUUUAAUAUAUUUUUUCUAACCUACAUACUUGUAAAACAUGUAUUUCAACUGAAUUCAUUGAAAUCAGUUGAGAAUUUUUCUGCAUAAGACCUAACAUGGUGAGUAACAAUUAUUACUUAGCCACAGAUUCUGCAAAACAGCACAGGCAAGAUUGUGGCUAGAUUAGAUAUGUACUUCAUGCAAUGUAAACUGCAAUUUUGACCCAGAUUAAAAAAAAAAUGCAAGAUCAUCUUGCCCUAGGGAACUCAAAAGUAAUAUCGGGAUGAACCUAAUGAUGUUUUGGCUCGGUUUGAGUUCGAUUACGUUUUAUGGAGGGCUUUUUGCAUGAGGCCAAGCAAAUUCUCUUGUUUAUCUGACCAAAUGUGCCACAUUAAUUAUUACCACACCCUUAUGGUGGUUCUGACAUCCAGUACCGGCCCCAUCUUAUCAGAUGCUGUUCCCAGAACAAAUUGGCACUCAGCAGAUAUCAAGGAAUUACCGGCACAUCUUGUACCUGCACCAUCUAUAAAGGCCUCGGAGAUAGCAAGAACUGCAGAUGCUGGAGUCAGAGGCAACACAGUGUGGAGCUGGAGGAAUACAGCAGGCCAGGCAGCAUCAGAGGAGCAGGAAAGUUGACGUUUCGGGUCCGCACCUUUCUUCAUUUCUGAAGACCUGAAACGUCAGCUUUCCUACUCCUCUGAUGCUGCCUGACCUGCUGUGUUCCUCCAGCUCCACACUGUGUUAUCUUUAAAAACCUGUUGUGCACCCGGACAAGCACUGUGUGUCUGGAGCUGCCGCUGCAUAGUCCCUGACAUUUGCCUUGGAUAUGGCAGACAGGGGAAGAUUGGUUCCCCACUUUGCUGGUAGUGUCCUGAAGAUCCUGCUGGAUGGGAUGGUUCACAAUUGGGACUUCCUCUUCCCCAGGAUCAGCAGUGAGGCCACAACACCGGACUAUGUCAGGCUGGCCCUAGGUCACCAUCCAGGAUAAAACAUACUCAGCUGUCUGGAGGAAUGACUAGCGCUAUAGGAAGAAAGUCAAUAAUUCUGUCCACUGUGUAUGUGCAUCCAACUUCUCUCCAAAACCUCACACUUGCUCUAUCCCUGCUCCUGUACCCACCUCCCACCAAGGCUCAUACACUACCACUCUCACUAUUGCCUGAAACACUUUCCCUCACUUGACUGUCACUCACUUCAAUCCCUGCCACCAUUAACCCUGCACCACCUCUAUGCUGCCUAUCCCUUCUUGGAAUGCCUCCCCAACUACACCAGUUUUAACAGUUGUGCCUCCCAUUUUCAACUCCCUCAAUAGCUGCCGCUCUCUCAUUGCUGGAAGAAACCAUCCUCCAAUAGGGCAGAAAAAUGCAGGACAAGUGGUGGAUUGUUCGACAUUCAGCUCCUCUCCCCUUAUGAGGAAAGCAUCCUGACUCUGACUGCCUCGAGUGACUAGUCGACCAGUGCCAAGCCCCUGGAGUGGAAUUGGAAACUGCCCUUGACUUACUGCACUGGGAUCCCCCGAGCAAAGGUCAUCUUCUUGACAUGACUGAAACCUGCUAACAACUAUGACAAGUUUCCUUCCUUUGUGUCUGCCCUUAUCAGCAAGGUAAGACAGAAGUAAUAUGAGUCUGGUAUCUGUGGCUGAGGAGCAAGGCAUGACAAGGCAAUGCAAGGCAGGGAUACAGUGAGUAUCGAGGUACUGUGAGUGAGUGCUGUGGCAGCAAGUGAAGAGCACAGAGAUGCAGCCUGAGCUGGAAGUGUGUUGCUCAGUGCACAGUGUCCUUGCUGCAGCAUUACAAUGAUAGCUGCUGGUGCAGCCUGAGAUGCAUCAUUGAAGUGCAAACCAUGCUGUAAGUAGAUUAGAGAUAUGCCAUGAGAAUUCUAGAGGCUGGCACAUAUCGGAUGCCAAUGUCCAUUGGUGUGGGAUCCAUGUGGCUUGUGCCCACGGCUGUGUGCCAAAAGAUGUUCAUGCCUGGUGCUCCAAUCCAAAAAUCACUCCAAGUAAGAAUCAAACAGGUACCUACUCUGGUUUCCAUAUUGAGUUUCCACAACUUCUAACUUCUUUAAUUAGUUUGGGAAGGUAGCAAACUGAAUAUUAAUGAGGCGAGUUAGUCCAUCAACCAGGUGUUUAACAGAAAUAAUGUCCCUUAAUUGGUAACUCACUGCUGCCUAGAGAGAAAGCUGCCACGCUGCUUGUGAAAAGCAUAAAGGUUGGCACAAGUUUCUCCCAAAGUCGAUAAGGCCUUCGCCAGACUUCUCAUCUGAUUCUGCCACAUUUCGCUAUAGCCCAUGUCGCUCAGACCCCUUAUGAGACUCCACCAAUGUUUCAAAUAUUAAAGACACACAAAUUGUUAGUUUUCAAAGCCCUCCUUUUCAUGUUUCCUUGGAGCAUAUAUCAUUAAAAUCAAGAGAUUAGAUGAAUUAUCUGCACCCAGUGAUAAAUAUUCCUGUCAAUAUAAUCAUUAGGUGAAUGUUGGAACAGGCUUAGGUGAUGUUCUAUUCAACCUUAACCUUCCUUUUUCUGAAAGACAUGGAUUUUGCUGUGCGCAUCCACACAGUAGGACUGCUGCGUUGAAAAUCUCGCUUUCCUCUCUGUUUUCAAAAUCUACUCAAACGUUUCUCUCAAAACAACCUUCUUCAGUUUUGUCUUCUUGUCGUUGAAUAGUAGGAGUGUUUACAACAAAGAAGGAUACCAUUCAGACCAUUCAGGCUUUUUUCUGAUGAAGGGUCUAGGCCCGAAACGUCAGCCUCUCUGCUCCUAUGAUGCUGCUUGGCCUGCUGUGUUCAUCCAGCCCUGCACCUUGUUGUCUCGGAUUCUCCAGCAUCUGCAGUUCCUACUAUCUCUGAUACCAUUCAGACCAUUGUGUCUGUACCAGCUCUCUGUUUGAGAUACUCAGCUAAUCCCACACCCCCGUAUUUUCCCUGCAAUUUGUUUUCUUUACAUAAUUACCAAAUUUCCAAUUGAAAGCCUCAGUUGAAUGUGCCUCUACCACUACUCAAUGCUUACUGUUUUAUUUCUCACCACACUAUUCUUCCAGACACCAUUCUCUGAAUAAAAAGCAUUCAUGAAAUAGAACUUGCUGUUGUGUUGUACAUCCAAACAACACCUAUGUAAAUGCAUGUGAAGGCAAAUUAUUUACAUGGGAAGAAAGCAUGAGGUCAUGCACCUUGGUAGGAAGAAUAGAGGAAUGGACUAUUUUCUAGUGGAGAGGAAAUUCAGAAAUCUGAAGUGCAAAGCAACUUGGGAGUUCUAGCCCAGGAUUCUCUCAAGGUAAACUUGCAGGUUGAGUCAGUAGAUAGGAAGUAAAAUACAAUGUUGGCAUUUAUUUAGAGGACUAGAAUAUAAAAGCAGGGAUGUACUUCUGAGGCUUUAUAAAGCUCUGGUCAGACCACAUUUACAGUAUUGUGAGCAAUUUGGGGCCCCAUACCUCAGGAAGGAUUUACUGGCCCUGGAGCAGGUCCAGAGGAUGUUCACGAGAAUCCCAGGAAUGAAAGGCUUGAGAUAUGAGGAAGGUUUAAGGAUAUUGGGUCUAUACUCGAUGGAGUUUAGAAGGAUGAGGGGGGGAAUCUAACUGAAACUUACAGAAUACUGAAUGGCCUGGACAGAGUGGAUGUUGGGAAGAUAUUUCCAUUGGUAGCAGAGACUCGGAUCCGAGGGCUCAGCCUUAGAGUAAAGGGAAGACCCUUUAGAAUGGAGAUAAGGAAAACCUUCUUCAGCCAGAGAGUGGUGAAUCUAUGGAAUUCACUGCCGCAGAUCAUUAGGCUAGGUCAUUAAGUAUAUUUAAGACAAAGAUAGAUAGGUUCUUGAUUGUCAAGGGGAUCAAGGGUUAUGGGAGAAUGCAGUUGAGAAACUUAUCAGCCAUGACUGAAUGGCGGAGCAGACUCGAUGGGCUGAAUGGCCUAUAUUUUGCUCCUAUGUCUUAUGGUCUUAUGGUCUUAUUUUCUUUAUUAUGAAACCAAUGAUUGGCAUAAUUAUACUUAAAGGAAUAAGACAUUCCUUUAUUUUGUUUUCUAUCACUCAGCUGCAUUAUUGUUAAAAAUCUCACACAGGUAAUCCCCAGCAACAAUCCUCAUGCAGGUUUUACAGUUCAGCUAAGGUAAAAAUCUAAUUUGUUUAAUAUCAGUGUCAGGCUCAGUCAGUUCUGAUUCUGAAGGAAUUAGGAUCUCGCUGCCACGCAAAGAUGUUAACCAUUAAAGAGGAACCAUAUUCUAUUAGAAAGUACUUACGAUACAAAACACUUCCCCCUUGUACACUUGCAUAAUUCUGUUAAAAAGUUCUAAUGAUAGGAGAAUUAUAACUUUGAUGUUGUAUGGCAGUCUCAAAACAUUAAUGAUUGUUCUCUGGUCUAAACAAAACCCACCUUCAAGUGCAUUUUUGUAGGUGUUACCAGUACAUGGACACAGAGUAAGGUAAUUUCUUAAAAGCUCAAGAUUUAAAGCAUUACAGGGUAGACUUUCUGAACCCAGUCCCCAGUGGUGAACAGACAAUGUUAAGAAGAGGUGAUCUAGAGUAGUUGACACAGCACAAUGGUACUCUGCCAGAUCACUGUGUCAGCUGCAGUUCUAAGACUUUUAUCCAGUCUUUAUUUAAAUGCAGGAAAUUGGGCAGGCUCCCUUAUGUGGGACAAUUCUCCUCAUUUGCUUUUCAAUUGUGUAUUGGCAACUAUUUCCACUUCAAAGAUAAAUGGAAGAUUUGUGCCUCAGUAUCUGCUUUACAUUUUAUAAACUUCUAAGUAUCCCAUUCAAUAACAGAACAGAUCAGCUGAAAACCAGACAUGUAGGGAACUUCAUGAGAGUUUUGUUUUAAGAUGGAACUUUAGUUAGUGAGUUUUAUUUUGCAUUUGCCCUAUCCCAGCAUCUGGUUGCAUUGAUGCUUGUAUUAGAAACAUAAAAAGUCACAUUGCCAAUGGGUUGAAUGGCCUCCUCAAUGCUGUAUUAUUCCAUGAUUUCAUUCUCAAGUAAUGACAGAUGCACACGUUCAUUCUAAGUUUUUAAAAAUAAACAAAAUUAGAAGGACAUUUAGAAGAAUUUUGAUUUUCAUCAACUGCCUGGUUUCAAAAAGGGCCCUGAUGAAGAGACUUCCUCUUUAUUAAAAUUAUAUAUUUUUACAAUGUUUGUUUCAGUUCAGCUCUGGGAAACAGUCAGUCUCUGUAUCACAAUCCUUUUUUUCACAAUAUGCUGUCUGUCUAAGCUCAUGUCUGAAACAGCCCAACAAGUACAAGUUCAAUUACCAUUCAGAAAUGAUGUCAGGAACAUGGAUGGGGCAGUGUCCAGAUCAGUUUUAGGAUCAUAUGCGCUACUUCCACUGUCUCAAACUCUCUGAUCUGCUCAUUUAUCAGUCUUCAAACUUAAUGACAUUUUGUCCUGACAUAUCAUAUUUCAAGACAAGAGGUUUUACUUCACAAGUAUUAUAAGGUUAGUCUAUGGUUUCUCAUCACAUAUGUUAAGUGUAUAAGAUCUUCAUGUUUCUAUGAAGAUAAUUUUAAUAUAGUGUAAGGAAUGGCUAAGGAAUGGUCACAAUGCCACAGAGUUAACAAUGCAUAUCUCAAAAACUGUAACAAAAAAUGCACAAACUAUGUUUCUCCCACCAUCUGCAGCUGUACUGAACUCCAAAUUAGAAGCUAAACUUCAACAGAAUAAAAUUCCAAAUCUCUAAAACACAAAGGUAGCAUUACUGAAACAGUCAAAAUUGUGUAAAAAAAACUGUUACUCUCACUAUUACAAAAUUGUUGGAAUUGACGAAAUACCUUAAUAUUUUUGAGGUCUGAAUCCAUCCUCUGCCACUGAAAUUCAGUUUGGACUAGGAAAGCAUUUGUUCCAUAAAGAAUUUAUUUAAUAAUGUUUGGCAACAUUUCAAAAUGUAGGUCAUGAAAUCUGAUGAUGACACACCCGCUUUCAGGCAUGAAACAGAAAUUUAAGCCUCUGUUAUGGCCAGAAUGAAGCAGACAUAUUUACGGGCUGCAAAUGUCCUAUGCCAUAUUUGUAUAAUCAGUAUUAUUCCAUUUUGGCACAAAUAUAACCAUCUUGCACCUGUACAGGAGUGAUGCAGUUGGUGGAGGCUUAUUACUGUUUGACAUCCACUGUACAAAUUUGGAUGCUGGUGCGUGCUGCAGAUCAUCACUAACAAGAAAGGACCUUUUCUGUUUCCAUGGAUCAUCCAGACCUUAAAGAAGAGCUUAAAGAAGAUCAAAGCCCUUUGACAGAGAUUUUACCCAUACAAUAUUGGAAAGAUAACAGUGGUCUAAGUGGAAUGACGCCACGGAAGAUGCUGAUCAAGUUGGAGGUAAACGUUUGGAAUAAAAUCAUCAGGAAUAUUCAGCUCUAAGAAAAAAGAAAUGAAUAUACUCGGCAUCUGUGGCCACAUUCCUUACUACACACAGACUACAUCUUCGACUGAUCAAAAUGAACAAGAGCAGCUCGUGAAGCAUAAAGAUGACUUUAAGAAUAAUGAAAUUCUUUCCCCUGUUUACUUUCUUUUAACAAGUUAACAAAUAUGUUGGUCUUUGUCAGUCACUGUCUUCAAAGAAUAUUUUCAGUUAAAUCACUUUUUGUACAAUACAGAACUCAUUUAGAAUAAUUGCAGUUAGCCAAUUUUACAUCAUUGACAACGUAUAGAACAUAUGGGUUCAAAUAAUGUAAAACCAAUCAAUUGCAAAUAAAUCAGUCUUAGAUAGCAGCUCAUAGACAGACUGGUAGAACUGUUCUGGACAUGCUACUGCCAAUUACUGUUACAAUUCCCUGAAACACUGAUAUCUUCUUUUUGGUUGCACUGUCAAAGCUCUAUGAAUUUCAGUGAGAUCAGGUAGCUCAAUAUCGAUAGGCAGAAUCUUACAAGGACCUGAACAAUGUGGGUUAUGGCAGGAUUUGUGGCAGAAUUACAGAGAAAGUCCAGCAAGGAUAUCUUGAUGUCAGGGGCAAUCCUUUGCAUCUUUUAUGCAUUUGCUGAACAGCGAGGCAAGUUUCUUGCUUGACAGCAGCGAGUUGCCAGUUUAGGGAGAUGAUUGCUUGCUAAGCGCCUUAUUUAUGGCACAACUUGCCUUAUUAAUAUUCAGCUUCCUAUUUUACCAACUGCGCUGAUUGUGCUAAACAUGGGCACCUGGUGACUCAGCCCACCACUUGCUCCAAAAGACCUCCAUGUUGGACACCAGGCACCAAUAUCUCAGGGUAUAUUCCAAAGGCAGCAGCCUCAUCCACUGCCAUCCACAGACACUGGCUCUGACUGUCACCUCAUGAACUUCAUUGCAUGCCUCUGCUCCAAGUAUUGGACAUUUCUGUACUUCAGUGCUGCAUCUCAGGCUACUGGCACCUACCACUGUUACGCUGCAGCAAGGACACUGUGUGCUAAGGCCCACGUAGGCAGCUCAUGGACUGGACCAGCCUGCAUGGCUGAACUGUUUGCUUGCUGUCAUAGAGAUCACUCAAUCUGAGCCUACCUGGAUAAUCACAGAGUUCCUGCCUUGCCUUUUGGCUCUUUCAGCCAGAGAUACUGGGCUCACAUUACUGCUGUGUUGCCAUGGUGUCUAGUGCAGACACAAAGCCAGGAAGCUUUGGUUGUCAGCAGUCAUUGGUCAAAUCAAGGGAAACAGCUUUCACCCAGAGCUCCUGGCACAGUAAAUCAAGGGCAGCCUCACACAUCAGACCAGUGACUUGGAACAUGGUCAGUCAGCUCCCACGGGUGAUCAAAGUCCGGCUGCUCUCUACGGAGGAAACUUCAUACAUGCUUCCUGUUACGUAAAUUGGAACAACUGAUUUUCACACACUGGGCCUCUGCACAUUCAUGCAAAGUGGACAAUAAGAGUGCGAGGAUACAAAGGAGAAAGGUGAAAAAAUCAUUCACUCAGCACAUUAGUGCACUUAAUGGAGUAAAACAUCCCAAGUGCUUAACAAUAAAAAAAAUUGACACGGAGACACAAAGACGAUAUCAGUGCCGAUGUCCAAACGCUUGAAGAAAGAGAUUCCCAGGCAUAUCUUCAAGCUGGACAGUAAGAUGGAGAUGUUUUGUGAGAAAACUCCAGAGCUUAAGGCCAAGGCAGCUAAAAACAGAGCCAUUUGUGUGCAGUAAAUUAAAUUGGGAUUGUGCAAAAGGUCAGAAUCGUAGGAGUGCAGAAAGGUCUUGGAGUGUUGUAGAGGUGGUAGAGGAUGUAGAGGUAUGGGGGAGUCAAGGAUACGAAACCAACGAUGAAGAUAUUACAAUUAAAAGACUAACAGUUUGUAAUAAUGAAAGGUCAGAAAACAUGCAAAUGAUACUAAUACCCACGAUUAUCAAGAUACUGUCAGGAAUAACCUGACUUAUACAAAGGUAUAAGGAGGGUAUAGCCUUCCAGUAUUCAUUGCUGUAUAACCAGUGGUCAAAACAUUUGGACUUCCAUCUUCUACUAUCAGUGCUCCAAGUGAGAGCAUCAGGAUAUUGCGAUUAUCGCUCAGGUAACGUGUAAUACUAUCUCUCCUGUUUAUGUUAAAACAAAGAGUUGGACAAAAGAUACCAGUUUUUGACGGUUGAAUUAAAUGCAGAUGAUCUGGUUGAAAGAGA